AUGAAUGCAUUCCAUUCGUGCCUCUACAUGGUAGAUGAUUUGGAUUUGAAUUCAUAUUCCAUUCCAUUCCAUGCAUAUGUGUUUUGUCGGUCGCAAUGCAUAAAUGGUUUAACAAGGAAGAUUUUGAGCAACGAAUAUGCUCUUUAUUUUAGACACAAGAAGGAACAACGAGCAUGCAUUGUACUCUCAUUUCUUCUCUGCAUCUACCAGAUCAAGAUGCAGAGGCAACUCUUAAAUGCUUCAAAAAAUAAAGGAAAAUCACAGGCUAAUCGGCGUUAUUCGGGCGACAACAGGUCCAGUCACGCGGCCUUAGUGCUGCGGGUCUUGCAGAAGUUGGUGAUGAAAUCCUUGCACUGGAAGCUGUCACGGCCGCCGACGGUGGACUUGGCGCAGGUCUUGCAGGCCAGGUUGCACCCGGUAGGCGAGGUGUCCAUGCAUCUGCACUGCGGCGGCAAGGACCCGGUGCAGAUGCCGCACUUGUCGCAGCACAGCGUAGCGCCUGCAGGCAGCCAACCAAGGUCAAUAACCUGCUAA
rnacentral:rRNA from 1 species